AGGACGAACGCUGGCGGCGUGCUUAACACAUGCAAGUCAAGGGGGCCCAGCAAUGGGCAACCGGCGAACGGGUGCGUAACACGUGAGCAACCUACCGAAAUGUGGGGGAUAGCCGGAAAACCUAACGGCCGAGUAAUACCGCAUACGCUCUCGAUGAGGCAUUUCAUUGAGAGGAAACCUACGGGACAUUUCGAGGGGCUCGCGGCCUAUCAGCUAGUUGGCGAGGUAACGGCUCACCAAGGCAACGACGGGUAGCC
rnacentral:rRNA from 1 species